UCUUUAUUCCUGCCGUCCCUCUGCCAUUUUAUUUCAGGUACCAUUGUUCUUUUCCCCCUCCGUCUUUCCCUAAAUUAACCCCAGCACACCCGAUAGCUCCCAAUAGCGCCCCCUCUGUCCACUCACUGUUACCACAGAUACAGACAACAACAGCAACAACAGCAAAUUUAUUUUUGUAUAGCGCAUUAUCACAACAUUACAUCGUCUCAAAGCGCUUUACAGCAUCCCCACCCAAAGCCCCCAGUGAGUAAGCCAUAGGCGACAGUGGCAAGGAAAAACUCCCAAGAAGGAAGAAACCUUGGGAGGGACCAGACUCAAAGGGGGAGCCCGUCCUCCAGAGGCCGGCAGGGAUAGUCAAAUAGGAGAGAUGGUUAAGUGCAGAGUCAUACUGUCCAAAUCAUAAGAUUUGAGAGACAACCGGGGAGCAGGGGGAGAUGACAAGCCAGUGAUGACACUCCCUCCAAUCGCACGAAAUGUCAGUAUUCACUUCUGCUAGCUAUCUGCUCUUGUUAAGCCGAUAGUAGCUGCGAAAAGCGAGAUCGUGAAGAGGCUCACCUGUGGAGGUGCUUUUGGCCAAGGUGGAUGCAAAGGGUAUACGCAAGUACAAAGAACUACGAUGCUGGGAGUACGCACGCUACACUGCUGCACGGCGGGAAUAGCGGCCUGAAGUCGUACUAGGCGGAAUUGGCGCACAGAAAAUAAAAAUGACGUUGUGGACAGGAAACGGGAGCCCAAUGAACACAAUUUGGACUUACAGUCCACUUCGUUCAUAUCUCUGAAAGUUCGUAAGUAGAGCUCCUCUACAGCUGGCAUUUGUGUGGGCAUGCCUGGAAACGCGUGCCCUACCAGGGACCCCAUGGGCACCCUGGCUGAUGCCGGUGCUGCCUCCGGAGGAUGAACCCUGUCAUAAUUCUGCAAGUGUGCCUCAUGCCACUAGGGCCCCGGUGAGCCGUAUCCAAAAGACGAGCACAUUUCUACGAGAGGAGAAUUACAUUUGCACGACGGAAAUCGAAUGCAAAUUCAAGGCCAUUUGCUAGUUGCCGAACCUGCUUUUUGCAUAUUCUGGAACAUUUUUAUGGAGAGCUGUGAAUGAGCAAACCAGAAGAGAACCUUGUGCCUGUACAGUCUAAGCAAGAUAAAACUCUUAUGUAGUAGCUGCAGAACAGGAAUGAUGGUGCAAUUUGUGUGGGCGGGGGGCCUCUGAGGAGGUGGCCUGGUUACUUUAUCAGACCAAAUUAGAGCACUGCCACAUUACUAAUAGACUUUUUUAAUCACGCCGUUUGCAGUAAAGUAGGAAAUGAGAUUCCUGAAUCACAGGUACCACUGUUUGGUCAAGGUUAAACUUCUUCCGGUGUUUGAUGUGAGUAUUUACCCCUGUCUGCCCCAUGAGGAUGUUAAUCCUGUUCAUUUAUUUUACAUUGUCUUUUGGAAGGAAGUGUAAUAAACUUUAAGCUUUUUCCUGAAACUUCACCUCUUUUUCUGUACAAACGGUACAAUUUAACAGCAUACUUGUAGUUCCACUUUUAGGUUAUAAAUGUAACUGUACACAUUUAUGGAUCAUUUAAGAGUAUUUUUGAGUUGUAUUAUCUGAAAAAAGUCACUUAAUAAAGUCUUGGUUGCUGUAAUUAGGACAGGUCUAGUUUGCCUUUUCCUCUGGAGUUAGUCAUUUUGUUUCACAACACAAACCAAUGGCACAACUGUGAAUUGGUGAAAUUAAGAAAUAAGUAGCGAAAUGGAUGACAAGUAUGUGA